rnacentral:rRNA from 1 species
AUUGAACGCUGGCGGCAGGCCUAACACAUGCAAGUCGAGCGAGCGGCGGACGGGUGAGUAAUGUAUGGGGACUGCCCGAUAGAGGGGGAUAAGUACUGGAAACGGUGGCUAAUACCGCAUACUAUCGUAUAACCCAUAUGGGAUUAGCGAGUAGGUGGGGUAAAGGCUCACCUAGGCGACGCUUUCUAGCUGGUCUGCGAGGAUGAUUCGCCACAGUGGGACGGAGGCACGGCCCCGACUCCUAAGGAGGCAGCAGGGGGGAAUUUUGCACAAUGGGCGCAAGCCCGAUACAGCCAUGCCGCGGUGAGGAAGAAGGCUUUAGGGUUGUAAAGUCCUUUCAGCGGGGAAGCGUUACCCGAAGAAGAAGCACCGGCUAACUCCGGGCCAGCAGCCGCGGGAAUAU